CCGGCAAGGCCGGACCCGGCUGCUGGCUCUGGUUUUUCCUUCUCUGGUCUCGAUCGUCGCCAACCGAUCGUUUUCACCUCGUGGAAUUCCACGCGGCAGCGCACGCCGACGACGUUUUUCCGAGCGUCGCGCGUUUUAUCGAUCGGAGGGAUCCACUUGCAGGUACGCGGGACAAGAUGCAGCUGAGGAACGCUUGAACUUGAUGUACGGCAGACGCAACAAUCGGCCAGCUAGACGAAACAAUCGAGAACGCCUCCCUCAGUGAGAAAUGCCGGCGAGGAACGAACAACAUGAACGUCCACAGGGAUUCUGGUAUGAUACUUUCUGAAGCGAAGAAGGAAGGAAAAAACGCCUAAUCGCGAAGAAAAGAUGGAAUUUAUGAAUUUUUUCGUCAUAUCAUGAGGAUGUAUCUCUUUGUAUCGAAACGUUCAAAGCAUUUAGAGAAGGAUGGUUCGAGGAUCUGCAGAAUUAAUCACGCUAAAAUUGUUAGAUGAUUCAGUGAAUAUCUAGGAUAAAAAGAAACACUAAUUUGUCGAUUAAUUUAGUUUAAUUAUCAUUUCGAUGGCAAAAAUUAAAUUUAAU